GCCGGGCUCCGCCGACUCGGGACAGGAGGCGACGCCCGUCCCGAGCCGAUCCUACCAUAGCCUCGGAGGGAUCCGAGUUCCCGUCCCAAGCCUCGCGACUUCCCUCUGACGAAGUUUUUCCCCUCGUGCCUUGCUGAAGAUCAUUCCUAGUUCUAGAACUCGCCUGUGGCCGACUUGCUCGGUUUGUUUGGGGAGAUAACUUGUUUUGCUUCAACCCGCAUCCCCUUUCCUUGACCCCUUGCAAUCGGAUGUUCUAGAUGACUGAAUGGAGUUUUGAGUUGGACUUUUGUGUCCCUGCCGAAAUUGAGCCUGAUCCCAGAGCACUGGGGGUGGGGUGUGGAGGUGUUACUGUAAAAUGCAAGUUGGAUAAAAAGAAGACCUCUCGCCAAGGGCCCCAAUGAGUGGCACACAGUCAACUAUCACGGACAGGUUUCCCCUCAAAAAACCUAUAAGGCACGGAAGUAUUUUGAACCGAGAGUCACCAACAGAUAAGAAACAGAAAGUUGAACGCAGUACAUCACAUGAUUUUGACCCCACAGAUAGCUCCUCCAAGAAGACAAAGGCUAGUUCAGAGGAGAGUAGAUCCGAGAUCUAUGGUAAGCUGAUGUAGCUAAUGCGGUCUUGCAACUUUGCAGCUUGCUUCAUGCUGUCUCAUUUUGUUUUUGGUAA